ACCACCUGUCACUGAAUAUGGUCGACGCGAUUGACGAUCCCAUUGACUAUCUUGGUGAAAUCGCCUUCGAACGGUUUUAUGUUAUAGAAGCUGUGCGUGAAAGUCUGUGUAGAUUUCAAUUCUCGAAAAGAAUAGUGCAACAUGAUACACACACGAGUACCCGGCAUGGAACGUACAGAAAAGGAACCUAUGGAAGAUGAUCUCACGGAAUUCAAUCUUUUACAGAAAAGCAGUGUUUUUACAAAGAAAAGAUCUAGGAGGCAGAGGCUGCCAGCUGCAAGGGAAAGGAGUUCAUUAAGAAGUCUUAUUAAUUUCAUGAAGUCAGUUGUUGGAAAGGAUUUGACAAAAGUUACAAUGCCAGUUCAUUUCAAUGAGCCACUAUCAUUUCUACAGAGACUGGCAGAAGAUUUAGAGUAUGCUGAUGUUCUAAACAGAGCCUCAUUUUGCAAAAAUUCAUUGGUACAACUGGCUCAUGUGGCAGCCUUUGCCAGUUCAACAUAUUCUACAGUAUUGGGAAGGUUCUGGAAACCUUUCAACCCACUUCUAGGAGAAACAUUUGAAUUUGUUAACCCCACUGCUGGAUAUGCCCUAAUUGCAGAGCAGGUAUCACAUCAUCCUCCUAUCUCAGCCCUACAUGCAGAAUCUGAUCACUGGAUUUUCUGGCAGGAAUAUAAACUUGAUACUAAAUUUAGAGGACAGUUUUUGAAGGUUAUUCCAACUGGAUUGUGUCACGUGAAGUUUAAAACAGAUGGUCAUCAUUUUACAUGGCAGAAGCCAAUCACAACAAUUCACAACAUCCUUGUUGGCAGUAUUUAUGUAGAUCAGGAAGGAGAUGUUGUGGUGACAAAUCACUCAACGCAAGAGCAGUGUAGACUACAUUUUCAACCUGUGAGGGAAGUCCAAGAGAGCUUCAAACAGCUUUCAGGUUAAAUCUCUGUGUUCAAGGUUAGAGCUAUACAGCAAUCUUAGGUUACUGUUGCAUGCCCAUGCAGAAUAGUCCCUGUAAAAAAUGCAUAUUUUGUGACUCAGACAUGGAUCCCAUUGACCUAUGGACAGCAAAUACCAAACCUGAAGAUUCCUGGAGAUAUUAUGGCUUCACACAGUUU
rnacentral:misc_RNA from 1 species